GAUGAACGCUGGCGGCGUGCCUAAUACAUGCAAGUCGAGCGAACAGACGAGGAGCUUGCUCCUCUGACGUUAGCGGCGGACGGGUGAGUAACACGUGGAUAACCUACCUAUAGGACUGGGAUAACUUCGGGAAACCGGAGCUAAUACCGGAUAAUAUAUUGCACCGCAUGGUUCAAUAGUGAAAGACGGUUUUGCUGUCACUUAUAGAUGGAUCCGCCCCCCAUUAGCUAGUUGGUAAGGUAACAGCUUACCAAGGCAACGAUGCGUAGCCGACCUGAGAGGGUGAUCGGCCACACUGGAACUGAGACACGGUCCAGACUCCUACGGGAGGCAGCAGUAGGGAAUCUUCCGCAAUGGGCGAAAGCCUGACGGAGCAACGCCGCGUGAGUGAUGAAGGUCUUCGGAUCGUAAAACUCUGUUAUUAGGGAAGAACAAAUGUGUAAGUAACUAUGCACGUCUUGACGGUACCUAAUCAGAAAGCCACGGCUAACUACGUG
rnacentral:rRNA from 1 species